AUGGUAGAUGGGUGGAAUGCCCUAUUUAAUGAUGUCAAAAAUACUGUCCUGAUGGACAAGAGAGACACUGUUCGCUGGGACUUUGACACUAAAGGUGUUUACACUGUCAAGUCCUUCUAUGACAUUAUAAACUUUAGAGGAGUCUCCCCCGGGAACAGUAUAUCUAUCUGGAAUAUCAAAGUCCCGCUUCGCAUUCAUAUUUUCCUUUGGCUUAUGACUAAUAACAAGCUGUUGACUAGAGAUAAUCUGCAGAAAAGACAAACAGUAGAUAAUGCGUCCUGUCUUUUCUGCAAUGAUCCUGAAUCUAUAGAUCAUUUAUUUUUCAACUGUGUGGUCUCGAUGGAGCUCUGGAGAGUGAUUGGGGACUUCUACAAUAAUCAUGCCAGGAUGUCUAUGAAUGACAUGCUUGAAUGGUGGUCCCAUAAUAAAAAUCACCCGGCUGAAUGUUUAUUGCACUUCGCUGUCUUGUGGGCUCUAUGGAAACAAUGUAAUGAUAUGUGCUUCAAUUAUACUCCCUGGUCUGGGAUGCAGGUGUUGUGGAGGAAGAUAGCUGCUACGUUAGAUAGUAGGGCGGUACGUUGCUCAGAUCCUGUCAAAACCAAAGUGCUGAGUAUGGUGCGGAAGCUGGAACAGAUGGCAAGGUCCCCACCCCUCCUACUAUGGCCGGACCCUGGCUAG
rnacentral:rRNA from 1 species